rnacentral:rRNA from 1 species
UACGAAGGGGGCUAGCGUUGUUCGGAUUUACUGGGCGUAAAGCGCACGUAGGCGGAUCGUUAAGUCGGGGGUGUAAUCCUGGAGCUCAACUCCAGAACUGCCUUCGAUACUGGCGAUCUAGAGUCCGGAAGAGGUGAGUGGAACUCCUAGUGUAGAGGUGGAAUUCGUAGAUAUUAGGAAGAACACCAGUGGCGAAGGCGGCUCACUGGUCCGGUACUGACGCUGAGGUGCGAAAGCGUGGGGAGCAAACAGG